UUAACGGAGAGUUUGAUCCUGGCUCAGGACGAACGCUGGCGGCGUGCUUAACACAUGCAAGUCGAACGAUGAGGGGCCCGGGGCUUGCCCCGGGGUCUGAUUAGUGGCGAACGGGGUGAGUAACACGUGAGUAACCUGCCCCCCGACUUCGGGAUAACCGCGAGAAAUCGUGGCUAAUACCGGAUAUGACGCCCCCUGCCGCAUGGUGGGGGUGUGGAAAGACUGUGUCGGUCGGGGGAUGGGCUCGCGGCCUAUCAGCUUGUUGGUGGGGGUGAUGGCCUACCAAGGCGCGACGGGGUAGCCGGCCUGAGAGGGCGACCGGGCCACACUGGGACUGAGACACGGCCCAGACUCCUACGGGAGGCAGCAGUGGGGGAAUAUUGC
rnacentral:ncRNA from 1 species